AAUGCCUGGUUAUCACUCCCAGUGCUGCCGCUGUCACUUCAAUUGAAGUUUUUCACUUAACUUUGGAAGCCUUCACUUCGUCACUUCAUUUUGUUUC